AGAGAGAGACAUGCGCGCAUAUCAAUAAGCGGAGGAAAAGAAACUAACAAGGAUUCCCUUAGUAACGGCGAGUGAAGCGGGAAGAGCUCAAAUUUGAAAUCUUCAAGGUUUUACCUUGACGAAUUGUAGUUUAAAGAAGUGUUUUCUGCUGAAGUUUUGGUAAAAGUUCUUUGGAAUAGGACAUCAUAGAGGGUGAGAAUCCCGUAUUUGACCAUUAUUUUCAGCUUUGUGAUACACUUUCAAAGAGUCGGAUUGUUUGGGAAUGCAGUCCAAAAUGGGUGGUAAAUUUCAUCUAAAGCUAAAUAUUGGCGAGAGACCGAUAGCGAACAAGUACCGUGAGGGAAAGAUGAAAAGAACUUUGAAAAGAGAGUUAAACAGUACGUGAAAUUGUCAAAAGGGAAGCGUUUGACACCAGUGUUGUUUUCUCGAAAAUCAAUUAAAAAUGGCUCGAUUUUGUAUUGCUGAGACCUUAAAAGCUCACUGUACAUUUUUCGUGUCUUUUUUAAUGCACUUUUCGUUUACAAGUCAACAUCAGUUUCUUUUGUUGUAAAAGGGUCAUUGGAAGGUGGCUUUCUUUUCGGAGAAAGUGUUUAUAGCCUUUGGCCUCUGCAAUCGAAGAGACUGAGGUCUGCAGCGUAGACUCUUCGGGGUUAGAUACAUUUGUGCUAAGUUAUAGCUUUUUAUAGACAACUUGUUGACUAUAAUUAGUCUUGUAGCUUACUCGCUUAUGCUAUUUUACCUACGCUUAGGAUGUUGAAGAUGUAGCACAUCAU
rnacentral:rRNA from 1 species